UUACAAAAGAUACAGAUGCACAGAUUGAGAGAUACAUUUAUAAAAAGACCCAUACACGCCGCACUCCACACACUGCACACAAAUCAAACUGAGCAAAGCAAAGCAUUGCUAUUCAGCGGCAACAGCUAUUUCAACUGUUGACAUUCUAUUGAAAAGUAUUUCGGAAAUUGUAACGCCGAAAUGUAUCUGCUCUCGCGCAUCAGCAUCCGUAGCUCGGAUCUUGCGUUUAGCAUCUCGCAUAUUUGCAAAAGUUAAAGAAGUAGAAUAGGCAGCAAAAGUAGCGACGGCGUCAUCGACAACAAACACACACACACAUACACAAUGGCAACGGAGAAAAUACCUUUCGAAUUGAAUCACUCACGCGGUCUGACUUGUAUCUUGUCACCGUCCACAUUGAGAUACUUUUGCCCCCGUCCACCUUGACGACUUCUUGGCAAUACUCUUGGACAGCCCAGCGUCUUCCGUGACUCACGUUUAACGCCCAGAAUAAACGCAGAGAUC
ensembl:ncRNA lncRNA:CR44465 long non-coding RNA:CR44465